AACGAACGCUGGCGGCAGGCUUAACACAUGCAAGUCGAGCGCCCCGCAAGGGGAGCGGCAGACGGGUGAGUAACACGUGGGAACGUACCCUUUACUACGGAAUAACGCAGGGAAACUUGUGCUAAUACCGUAUGUGCCCUUUGGGGGAAAGAUUUAUCGGUAAAGGAUUAGCCCGCGUAGGAUUAGCUAGUUGGUGAGGUAAAGGUUCACCAAGGCGACGAUCCUUAGCUGGUCUGAGAGGAUGAUCAGCCACACUGGGACUGAGACACGGCCCAGACUCCUACGGGAGGCAGCAGUGGGGAAUAUUGGACAAUGGGGGCAACCCUGAUCCAGCCAUGCCGCGUGAGUGAUGAAGGCCUUAGGGUUGUAAAGCUCUUUUAGCAGGGAAGAUAAUGACGGUACCUGCAGAAAAAGCCCCGGCUAACUUCGUGCCAGCCGCCGCCGUAA
rnacentral:rRNA from 1 species